CCACGACCACAAAAUCAGCGAGUAUUAAAUUGAUAUGAUCAUAUGAAUUUGGGAGAAUCUUUGUAUGUAAUUUUGGCCACAUCUAAACCCAAAUCAUACACAAACACCUUCCUUGCUUUCUUCACUGAAAAGGGAAAAAAAAAAUCAAUCGCCGUCGCCGCCACUAUUUUCCGAUGGAAUUCCCGUCGUUGAAGCACCACAACAAUCAAAGGUAUGUUCUUCUCCCACCACCACCUGUUAACAAUUUCUCCGAAGAGAGCUCUAUUCUAUACACCUCACGACCAUCUUAUUCAUCUUCCGCCGUGACUCCGUCGCCACUUUCCGUUCCUACAAAGGUAUUAUUUUAUUUGUUGUUGUUGUAUCAGACUUAUUGUGUUCACCACUAGACUUAGGUUUCAGUUGCCUUCUUUGGGAACUAGUGAUAAAUAAAUACCUAUAAAUUAAUGACAACCAUAUGAAACGAACACCGAGAGCCUUAACCCAUAAAGGUAAAUUUGGGUCCUUUAGGGGAAAUUUGUAAAGCUCACGAGUGUAUCGGGUGGUGUUAAGAUCAUUCAAGCGGCUAGCUUCUACAUAUGUAGGAGUGGGUCGAAUGGGUCAUACAUCAGUGAUUGGGUAAAUUGGUGAUGCUAAAAAAAAAACCCACAAACUUUGAUAAUAAAUUUUCAUAUUGAAUUUCACAAGUAAUAUAUAACAGUUCCUUUAAUAUCAACUUAUUUAUCAAAUAAUAAGUUUUUUUUUAAUUUUAUAUUAUAAGUUCAAGAAGUAGAAGAAGAAGAAAAGUAAUGGUUUUACGUAACCUAACCCUUGUGACCCAGUUCUAGAAAUUACCCAACUUGACCUGUUACCCAAACUUGACCGGCCUGCAUGUUUUGCCAGGCCUAUAUGAAACUUAAGAACCACUACAUUCACAUCUGAACAUGUCCAUUCACUUGUGACUAUUUUCGUUCCAUGUUGCAAAUAUAGAAUCAGUUGUUUACAUACGAAGUUUUUUAAGUUUUAUGAUGCCAUGAUCCGGUUGCUUCCUUAAACAUUAAAGUGAUGACCAAGAAGAGUACACGCAGUGUUCAUUUUGAAAGGAUAGCUUAAUGAAGACUAAGUUCACAUAUCUUUUUGUUGGUUAUGAAUAGAUUAAUUUUUAACAAGUUUGUUGAAAAUGGGCAAGGGGAAUUAUCCUCGGACUAAAGAUAGAAGCUAAGUGUGAUUGUUGGAUUCAAGCUCAAUUGCUAGGGGAUUCAGUCUUUGAAUACAGCAUGUGUUUGUUCAUAUAUGAGUUAACACAUGAUGAUAUCACUUGCCUGUAAUCGGACUUACCCACUACCGUGGGGGAAGAAAUAUGGCCACUUGAACUUAAUCAUCCCUUUGUUUCUGUUAUUGGUAACUUUGCCGUUGGUGCCUUCAACAAGAUCAUUAGUAUGCUUUCAUUUCACAUGCUUCGUACAAUUGGACUUUUUUUAUUCACCAAUUUUCAUAUAAACAAAUUAAUUGUUGUUAGUAUGUUAAGAGGGACAACAACAACAAUCUCCGUUUUGCGGAGGUUAUGGAUUGCAAAUACAUGACUGUGGAGUUGUGGACCCCUACUCAUUUCUUUUUCUUAGGCUAGAGGUCAUUGAAGAAGGCAUUCUCAGCGUUUACAGAGUCAUGGUUGCAUGCUAUGCGCUUGAUGCUCGGAUGACUUGGUCCGUUUCUUUUUUACCAACUGUAAACUGACUGGUAAGAUAGCAAUAAAGAUGUCUCGCUUGAUUUUCCAAAAUUACAGGUUUUGCAUUCUCUUACUUUAAGGCCUUAAGCGUGUUGCCCAUGGUUUCUGUUGCAAGUAGAAAUUUAUAUAUAUAUAUAUAUAUAUAUAUAAGGUCUUAUUAAAAUGCCUAACAAUUUGUGUUGUUGUCAGACUUAUAUUAUGAAUCUUGACUCGUAGGUCUUGAUUGUCACU